UGGAAAAGCACUGGGAGCCAACCACCAUCU
rnacentral:piRNA from 1 species